rnacentral:sRNA from 1 species
AUUUUAUUUAGUUUAAAAAAAACGAAAACUUAUAUAAAAAAGCAAUGAAUCGGGCGCGAAAUCUCCCGCCAAUAUUCUUCUUUGCUCUCAAAUCUUUUCCUUAUCAACCUCUUUUUGGAAGUAAAUAUUUAGCUUAUACGAUCUUGUGUAUGAAUCAAUGUUUCGCUGUGAUGGUAACUCGCUAGUCUCAUUUACUCUUGUGUACACGAAUAGAUUAUUUUCCAUGCUAUUUUCAUUUUCUUUGCUGCAUUGUCUCCAUAACAUCCUCAUCAUAAUCAUACUUUCAUCACCUUCCCCAUGAGAAGUAGGGUUUUGCUCGUUCUCUUCCCCAUCCCCUCAUUUGAAAAACAAAAAAGAACACAACAAAACCAUUACACAACCCAUGACAUCUUGUUUGACAUCACCCACCACUCACAAAAAACCCCAGAGUCACACCCAGCAUAGUACAAAUAAGAUUAUAGUACAAAUGAAAAUAUAAUUGUCGGCGCUAUCGCCAGUGGCAUCGCGGGCGGCUGAGUGUGGAUUCCGAGUAAAGGCGACGACCACUCGGUUUCAUCUUCGAUUCACAUAUCGGAGGUGAAGGAAGGUGAUUCGUGCGUUUUGAUCCUCACCGGUGAUACCUCGGCGACAGCCAGGGUUACCGGCUCGUCAGGGCUUGGUCGCGGAGGUGGGCACAGUCCAGUAGUCGCAGCGCGUGAAGGGAGAAAUGUUACGGAGGGCAGUGACGCUUCGAACAUGGGUGACUUCGCCGGCUACGCUUUCACGAUGAUGGACAUCCUCAUUCAUGUUAUACCAAAUAGGUUUGGUGAGGUAUAUUCAUAUGCAUUGAAAAAUUGGUCAGAACAUGAUGAUGUUUGGAUGGAGAGCUUGACGGAAAAUUUCACGCACUUUCAAGAUCGGUAUAAAUUUAAUCUAUCACUUUAAAAUCAAAAUUUUCUUUUAGAAUACUUUCGAUGCUUUACCAAAAUCAUUGUCAUUUUGUUCAUGAUUUCAAAUUUAACCAUCUCGUUUGGUUGGUUUCUUUCUCUCUUUUAUAACAGCCGCAUUAAGAGAG